CAGUUAGGAUCCAAUGCAUGAUUUCUCAAAAUAAAAUAUUUAUUUCAUUUUUUGUUUCACUCUUUAUAGUAUUUUAAUGUACUGUGAAUAGUAAAUUAAAAUAAAUGUAUAGGUUAAUUACUGAACCUUUUUCACUUAAAUAUUAGUACAUAGGCAUAUAAAUAUAUAUACAUAUGUAUAACUAAUGCCUUAACAGUUUCCUAGUAAAAAAAAAUCAAUUCCGGGCCAAUUAAAAUUGAACUCAAUCACGGUGUAAACUUUCCGACAAUACCCAAAUGGCCUCUGUCUCGCCCCCUCCCAUUCUGGAACUUUCUAUCUCUUUUCGUCUCUGUGAGUUUGGUUUUCAGCUAGUUACAUAUGCAUAAUUCAGGGCCGCAUUCAUGCAAUUAAACAUUCUAUAAAUCUCAACACGACUUCUCACAGCUCGCAACUCACCUGUUUGUUCCAUUUCCAGUCCGGGCCACGAAUUACACGCGCACCAACUCCCUCCAUGGAGAAACGUCGAGCGACUGCCGCAGCUGAGCCAGCGCCACUGCCACCGCUGCCACUACCACUGCCACCGUUACCCACACCUGCAGUUACAGUGCUGCCUCCGCUGACUACCACACCCACAGAUGUGGCCGAGGAUGAAGAACCACUUGCAGCAGCAUUUGUUGAAUCUUUGGCCGCCGAUAAGGUUGCGGCACAAGACAUUGUCGUGUGUCUAUGUUAGGGCCCUGCAAUUAUUAUUUUUGAUUUUCUUCACUUUUUCCUUGGGACACACACACACAAAAUGUCAUGCAGAUUUUAGUGAGUGCAAGCAGCGUUGCCAGCUAACAAGUUUCGCUGCUGGCACACAAACAAUUGCAUUCCAAUGCACACUGAAUGUCCAACGCAACACGUAAGCGCUACGCCACGGUAAUCAAGAAAUGCAAAUCAUGGAUACUUUUAAUAAACUGUCUAUUUAUUAAAAA